GCUGUCCUGGACCUGCCAGCACCACAGACACACUUGCUCAUGCGUGCCUGUAACAUCGGGGCAAAGAGAAAGUGGCCAUUUCUACCUGUAGCUAGGACUAC
rnacentral:snoRNA from 1 species